rnacentral:rRNA from 1 species
UUAGGAAUCUGCCUAUAGUGGGGACAACAUUCCGAAAGGAAUGCUAUACCGCAUACGCCCUACGGGGGAAAGCAGGGGAUCUUCGGACCUUGCGCUAAUAGAUGAGCCUAAGUCGGAUUAGCUAGUUGGUGGGGUAAAGGCCUACCAAGGCGACGAUCUGUAGCGGGUCUGAGAGGAUGAUCCGCCACACUGGGACUGAGACACGGCCCAGACUCCUACGGGAGGCAGCAGUGGGGAAUAUUGGACAAUGGGCGGAAGCCUGAUCCAGCCAUGCCGCGUGUGUGAAGAAGGCCUUUUGGUUGUAAAGCACUUUAAGCGAGGAGGAGGCUACUGGUACUAAUACUACUGGAUAGUGGACGUUACUCGCAGAAUAAGCACCGGCUAACUCUGUGCCAGCAGCCGCGGUAAUACAGAGGGUGCGAGCGUUAAUCGGAUUUACUGGGCGUAAAGCGUGCGUAGGCGGCUGAUUAAGUCGGAUGUGAAAUCCCUGAGCUUAACUUAGGAAUUGCAUUCGAUACUGGUCAGCUAGAGUAUGGGAGAGGAUGGUAGAAUUCCAGGUGUAGCGGUGAAAUGCGUAGAGAUCUGGAGGAAUACCGAUGGCGAAGGCAGCCAUCUGGCCUAAUACUGACGC